rnacentral:rRNA from 1 species
UACGAAGGGGGCUAGCGUUGCUCGGAAUCACUGGGCGUAAAGGGUGCGUAGGCGGGUCUUUAAGUCAUGGGUGAAAUCCUGGAGCUCAACUCCAGAACUGCCUUUGAUACUGAAGAUCUUGAGUUCGGGAGAGGUGAGUGGGACUGCGAGUGUAGAGGUGAAAUUCGUAGAUAUUCGCAAGAACACCAGUGGCGAAGGCGGCUCACUGGCCCGAUACUGACGCUGAGGCACGAAAGCGUGGGGAGCAAACAGG